CGUUUUUGUGAGACUUAGAAGUGAGGUAGCGUGUAAUGUAUUGAGAAACACUACUCUCUCAUUCUACUAUGUUGAACCUUCUGGGAGUUGUUGUAGAAAUCUCCCGCCAUCCACAAACUGGGAAGCCAGCAUAAGCAUGGGUCUCCUUACUUGUAAUUGAUAUACCAUAAUAAAGUACGUGAAUGACCACCCUGACUUCUUAGGACCUAAGUACUAAAGGACAAGAAUGCAACAGUGGCGACGAGGAUGGGAUCCAGUGUACGAAGAGUAUGACCUCAAGCUGACAUCACAAUGGAUAAGGCUAUGAAAGGUGCCAUAAAAUUACAAUCACAUCGUCGAGGCAGCAAUGGAGUAGUGUUUGUCCUUAAAAGCAUGUCUUUGGCUCCACUCAUACAUCGCUGUAAAAGAAAAUUGUUUGAAACUACUGAAUCCAUGACUUUGAAGAGGCACCUUCACUGGUUGAUGAGGACAAAUUCAAAGAGGAAGAAGAGGCAGCACCCUCGGUGACAGUUAUCUGAACAGAUGAAAUCCCUGGAUCUGUUUCCGAGACAUCAAUCUUUACCAGAUUCUCACAACCUUCACUUGGCUGCAAAAAGAAAAUGCUCUUGUAAACUGAUUUCUCUGCACUACACAAUCGUUUAGAAGACUCAUCCUUAAGAUUAAUAGGUAAGAAUAAAUUGGUUUUGAAAGUAUCAUUUACUUUGCGUGCAGGUUAUUCUAAUGUAAACACUAAAUGGCCCACUCAAGUUCAUACUAUGAAUAAAUGAAAGAAGCAGUUAUAAAUAAAAUAACUGUAUGUACUUCAUGUUCAAUACUGUUAGCCAGAUUUAACAUUAUCUAGAAAAUGUCUUAGGUUUUUGCAAAACUGAAAGGAAAUUGUUUUAUUUCAUGAGGAAAUUUUAAGUAAAACAGAUUUUGAAAUACACAGAAUCUCUACAAUUUCUUCGUCAAUGAACCAAAUUUAUUAAAAUCACCAGUUGAAGAAUCUGAAUCUAAAUGUGAAAAAUCAGUGCAAGUUACCCCUGGGCUUAAUUGCAGUCUACUCAGAACACUGCACAUAAGUAUUUUCACCUUGGAAAAUUACUAAACUGAUCUGGUUUUCAUUCUUCAAACAGUAACAAUAUUUAACUUUUUGUACAAAAGAUUGCUACAUUACUAACAAAUGAGUGAAGGCCGUUUAAGGUCUACAGCUUUUCUGUUUGAAUAAUAAUAAUGUUCACAAUCAGUGUAAUCAAAUAAAGUUUUUAAGUAAAAAAAUCAGUACUAAAGAAAGGAACCAAUAAACCUAUGAAAAUGAGAAACUGGCAUUUCAAGCAAAUGUAAAUAUUCUAUGCAAAAAGAAAAAUAUAGCAAAUGCUGAAAUUAGUUGGAAACUUUCAAAAGCAUGGCAGGAGUACAAACGGGCUAAUUCUAGAAGGUUCAUGCCAACAUGCACGCAAAACUUGAAACAGAAAAUUCUGAAUCAUGAUGUUAAUUUAUAAAAAAUAAAAUUACUACUAAAUAAUAAUGUUGAUUUAUAAAAAUAAAAUUACAGUAAUCUUUCUAAGUAACACAAGUAUUUUGUACUAAAGUAUACUUGGAAAAGUGUCUUAUUAUCAAGAUUCUUAUGUUUUAGCAGAUACUGUAUAUUUGUGAACAGCCUAAUUUUUAACUAAAAAAUUUUGUACCUGUACACUGUAUGUACUUUAUGAAAAAAUAGAAACUAAACAUUAAA